GGCCAGGCGGAAGUGGAGCUCGGAUCCGGAUCAAGUUACCGGAGACAAUGACUCACAAUCAAGAAUUCUGGCGUUAACAAAAAGCCAUACUACGCUUCUCCUUCGGUGGCUCUGAUUCUUCGAUCGGAGCUAACGAAUUCGGAUCGAAAAACUAGAACUUCCGUCGGAUCUUAUAUCAAAAAAGAUCUCGGAUCUAUGCCCCCACCUCCACUUCUAAUGGAUCGAUCCACAAACCCAGACUAAACAUGCUUCCUCCGUACGAGACAAAAACUAGCUUGGUAGCAGUUAGGCCGUCGGCUCAUCAAAACAAUAACAACCAUAGAUCCCAGCCUCUGGCCCAUAUAUGAGAAGACCAGCCGCUAAUCGCCCCAACACUCGGUGAAACCCCUGCGAUCCGCCUGUCGACUUCCUCUGUCCAUCGCAGUUUCGAAUCCGACACUGUGAGCCGAUUGAUUACUAAAUUUCUUUUGAUUUGAUAAUAGAAAUGAUUUGAUAUGCAACUAUGUAAUACUCUAUGUGUCCCAUUUUAGUA